rnacentral:rRNA from 1 species
UACGUAGGGGGCAAGCGUUAUCCGGAUUUACUGGGUGUAAAGGGAGCGUAGACGGCAUGGCAAGUCAGAUGUGAAAGCCCGGGGCUCAACCCCGGGACUGCAUUUGAAACUGUCAGGCUGGAGUGCAGGAGAGGUAUGCGGAAUUCCUAGUGUAGCGGUGAAAUGCGUAGAUAUUAGGAGGAACACCAGUGGCGAAGGCGGCUUACUGGACUGUAACUGACGUUGAGGCUCGAAAGCGUGGGGAGCAAACAGG